rnacentral:rRNA from 1 species
AACGAACGCUGGCGGCAUGCCUAACACAUGCAAGUCGAACGAUCCCUUCGGGGAUAGUGGCGCAUGGGUGCGUAACGCGUGGGAACCUGCCCUUAGGUUCGGAAUAACUCAGAGAAAUUUGAGCUAAUACCGGAUAAUGUCUUCUGACCAAAGAUUUAUCGCCUUUGUAUGGGCCCGCGUUGGAUGAGCUAGUUGGUGGGGUAAAGGCCUACCAAGGCGACGAUCCAUAGCUGGUCUGAGAGGAUGAUCAGCCACACUGGGACUGGGACACGGCCCAGACUCCUACGGGAGGCAGCAGUGGGGAAUAUUGGACAAUGGGCGAAAGCCUGAUCCAGCUAUGCCGCGUGAGUGAUGAAGGCCUUAGGGUUGUAAAGCUCUUUUACCCGGGAUGAUAAUGACAGUACCGGAAGAAUAAGCCCCGGCUAACUCCGUG